rnacentral:rRNA from 1 species
GACAGAGGUGCCGAGCGUUAGGCGGAAUCACUGGGCUUAAAGCGUGUGUAGGCGGGUCGUUAAGGACCUUGUGAAAUCCCACGGCUUAACCGUGGAACUGCUGGGUAUACUGGCGAUCUUGAGCCACUUAGGGGUCAGCGGAACAAAUGGUGGAGCGGUGAAAUGCGUAGAUAUCAUUUGGAACGCCAAUGGUGAAAACAGCUGACUGGGAGUGUGCUGACGCUGAGACACGAAAGCCAGGGGAGCGAACGGG